GGUCUCAAGCGUUGUUCGGAUUCAUUGGGCGUAAAGGGUGCGUAGGCGGCGCGGUAAGUCGGGUGUGAAAUCUCGGAGCUUAACUCCGAAACUGCAUUCGAUACUGCCGUGCUUGAGGACUGGAGAGGAGACUGGAAUUUACGGUGUAGCGGUGAAAUGCGUAGAUAUCGUAAGGAAGACCAGUGGCGAAGGCGGGUCUCUGGACAGUUCCUGACGCUGAGGCACGAAGGUCAGGGGAGCAAACGGG
rnacentral:rRNA from 1 species